UUGUAGAAAUUUGUCAUUUUUUGUCAGUUAUUUUGAACUGUAACUAAUCUUGUGUCAGUUUCUAUCUGUGUCAGGGCUCUCGGGAGGAAUGGCCAAUCAAACAAGGAAGAGGAGACAAUUGCGAGAAUUAGGAUACAGGGUAUACACAAUGCCAGUGGACCAACAUUGGAAAAAAUAGCAAGAAGAGAAGAACUCCAUCUCUCAUCAAGAAGAGUCCAGAAAAGGGAAUUAACUGCAGCCAACCAUGGAAGACAGGAAUUGAUGACAGCUGUACCUCACUAACCUAAGGAGCCUUGCGUUAAGAAGAGUGCAUCACCUGCCAGCAAGAAUACCAAGAGAAGGGAUACAGCUUUGGCCAACCCAAAAAGGUUACCAAAUGGAUGUAGAGAAGCAAGGCCAAUCAGAAGCAUGAGACCGCUUGACAGCUAGAGAGCCCGG